UCUAGUGGCUGUUGGUACAGGCAGUGAUGGGAAGCUGGGAGAGAAUUAUUCAAGUGAAAGCUUGAAGAGAAAAAUCAGUCAGGCCCCGCGAGGUGGAUGCG
rnacentral:lncRNA from 1 species